GACAGAGGGGGCAAGCGUUGCUCGGAAUCACUGGGUGUAAAGGGCGCGUAGGCGGGAUGGCAAGUCAGUCGUGAAAUCUCUCGGCUCAACCGAGAAACGUCGGCUGAUACUGCCGUUCUUGAGGGAUGCAGAGGAGACUGGAAUUCCCGGUGUAGCGGUGAAAUGUGUAGAGAUCGGGAGGAACACCGGUGGCGAAGGCGGGUCUCUGGGCAUUUCCUGACGCUGAGGCGCGAAAGCGUGGGGAGCAAACGGG
rnacentral:rRNA from 1 species